GAGUGGUCCAUGUGGCAAGGAACUGAGUAACCCUGUCGAAAACCAGAAAAAGGUUUCUGCCAACAGCUAUAUGAGAGCCAGCCCUCCGCUGACAGUCACGUGAGUCAGCCGUUUCAGAAGAGGAUUCUUGAGCCCCAGUCGAGCUGUUAGAUUUCUGCAGCCCCAGCCAGUAUACCCUCCUGAGAGAAGCAGAGCCAGACCACUCAGUGGAGCCUCUCCCGAAUUCCUGAGCCACCAAAACUCAUCAAGUCUUUGAUUUUGCUACUACCAAAAUGGUCUGGAUUAUCGUACUCAAAGCCUGGAUACUGCUGGCAAGGCAAACUAUGGUGUUGAAGUUCAAAGACAAAUAAGACGCAGUUGCAGUUCUUGAGAUAUCUGUCAUCUGAUGGAUGAAAGAAACACAAACAAAUGUUUUGAAGUGAAAUAAAAGAGAAUGUGAAGUCAGACCAUUGCCAGACACAAAGGAAUACCUGUGACAGUGCCAACUUGUAAUGCAGCCACUAACACGAAGGGAGAGGUGGGCAUAAGACAGGGAGUAAAUGGAGGGGUGAAUAGUAAGAGCUAAUUAAAUGCUUGUUUACUGGAUCUUGAAAUUAUUGGAGAUUUUUGUCAAAUGUUUAAUUUUCAUAUGCAAUCUAGAAUAUUAGUACAAUUUUGCAUAUUACAUUUAGAGAGUAACAUGUUUGUAUAAUAACAUUAAAAAUUUUUCUAAUUUUUCUGUAUAUUAUAUGCACUAAAACUUUGUAAAAUAUAUUAACUCCUCUUCCAAAAAUCAAUAAUCUAUCAUCUUGUAGAAGGCACUUGUUUGCUCAAAGUUACAUGUAAAUAAAAUUCUAUGACCAUUUUUUUUAAUUUUAAUUUUUAUUUUUUUUGCGGUACG